GGGAGAAGGAGAAAGGGGCGGGGAAAUCAGUUCAAUGGCUUGACAGCUUCGCUUCCCAAUCCUGUGGGAGAUUGGAGGAGCAGCCUCCUCCGCCUCGCACAAAGUGAAACUACUGCGGAACGCAGAGAGUAGGACCAGUUGGCACAGAAGAGCGGGAAAGCUGGGGAGCGGUGCGCCUGGGGAGGGAUAAGGGGAUCCUUUCCCCGCCUUGCUCUGGAGCAAUGGGAGUAUUCUCCAAGUCCUCUCUCUGAGGGAAGAAUACAAGGUGAAGAAGCUGAACAGAAACUACAAAGAAAUAAUCAUCAAUCUUGAUGUUGCAGAGAGAUCUGAUCAAGAAGGGGUGAUUGAACCACAAUUAGAGCACAGCCACAGGUACACAGCAAAAAGAAUAUUCACAUGGACCAAAUAAUUGGAGUACACCAUCUUUAAAAGUGUGCUGGAAAAGCCAAGUUUUACCCAGAUGCUAGAAGGCAAGUAAUGAUGUAACAAGGAAGCCACCCCUCUAGGAGGGGUGUUCCACUGCUCAGGAGCAGCAGCCAAAAAAAAGCCCACUAUCUGCCAGAUUUCAAAUAACAGGGGGACACAGAGCAAGCUUCUGAUGUUGAUCUAAAUGUGUGUGCAGAUAGAUAUGGAAGAAGUCAACCCUCAAGGGACUUAUAGCUGUUUUGAUAUCCUAGAAGGGCAGAGAGUAGAUGGAGCUGGGAUGACAUUUCCAGAAGUCUGAGCAAAAUUUGCUAGUUGCCACUGAAGAUGGCCACCACAACCCAGCAAUUUUAACAUGUGUUCAUCUUACAGAAGUCUGAGGAAAGCGUCUUGUUAUCUAAACGGCGACAGCUGGGAUCAAGGAAUGCAUUUUGUUAAUGUAAAACAUCAACUGAGACUCUAAAAUUGUUUAUUUUGAAUUUGUUUGGUUUAUUGUAUUUAUAUCUUCAGUAAUACAGGAAAUAUGCAGAGUAACGGUGAAAAAAUGGUAAAACAAAUUAUUCUGGUAAUUUAGUCGGAAAAGUUAUUGACAUACAGUAUAAAAAGUCGAAUAAUGUAACAGAACACAACAGAGUUUUUGAGGGCAUCAGCACAUGAUAUAUAAUUGAUUUAAAUGGGGAAAUUAACACCUUAUAAUUUCAUUCACAUACAGUGGCUUUUCACCAAACCAUGAAGGGCUAUGCCUGCAGUUUCCCUGAAUUUUUGACAGACUCUAAAGUUGAAAAAGGAAGGACUGGAGCUAUGUUAUGCAUGUCCAAUCCAAACCUGGUUGUCAAUAGGCAGAAACUGCACUCUAAGGGAAAAUACUGUGUCUCAAUCUGAUAUUUCUGAAAGCUGGCCAUCUUACAGCUUUCAUCACAUACAUUCUCUGUAGCUGUACACUACUACUAUAAGUCAGUUUCUUAUGGGCAGUCCUGCUAAAAUGACCACUAGUGGGCCACGGUUUGUGCACACAUGAGCUAGCAAAUAUCCCAUGCUCAUUUGACUGACAUACUGAAAGAAUAAUCAGUGCACAGUCAGCAACUAUAACAGCCAAAGGAACUACAUAAUUCCUGAGCCAAUUAUGAUUCUCUUAGUGUUAGUGGUCCUGACACUGCACAUACAGAGUACCAAUCAAGAUGCCAGAAUCCACAUCCCACAGUGCCAGAAGCAGUUGCUACACACUAAACAGGAACUACAUGUACAUGGUAUCCAUGGAGAUGGUUGCCCUCUGCAGCCAACAAUACAGAGGAGCUAUGCAGACACUGCUGUUCCCUGACCCAAAGAGCCAAUCAGUUUUUCUAAGCAGCAGCAACUAGGUAUCCCUCAAAACUAUAUCCAUCCUUGGAAGAUAAACAGGGCAGGGAGCCUGCUAGGACUACAUUGUCCAUUUGCUUAGGGAAGGUUAGUGCUUAUGUAGGUUAGUGGUCAUCUUUUUAAGCUAAGACCUGGAUAGACCCACUGCCUACUGAACUGAUAGGUUGUUAUUACUAUUGCCUAACCUGUAACCGUUAUUUAACAGUGUGGCAUUAUUCACACACACAUGCUUUUGCGUGUGUAUGGAAUGUAUCAGCAGGAUUGAAGCUGAAGAAAUAGAGUAGCAAAAGGAUCAAGAUUAGAACUAAUUUCUCCCAGUUUCAAGCAUUCACGACCACCUUGCAAGUGCUGCAUCAAAUCAGAGAUUGUUUACCUUAAGCUCACUUUUGUAGUCUUCUUAAGGGAUGACAGCAUGCCUACCUGAUUAAGCAGCAGCAGGCCCUUUACUGUAUUUGUUGUGAAGCUGUGACAGAGCAUAUUCCCACCUCCCUAGAACGUAUUUCAACCUCCCCGAUGAGGCUGAAAGUUAUAUGACUUCUGAGUGGCUUUUAUAUACUCUGCUACUGUUAAUUCCGUUGUAUUUCUUAAUUAUUGUUUCUGUUCUGUUGGAAACUGCCUUAGAGAGGCCGCUUCUCUAACCUGGAUCCCACUGAAGGUCCAGCUGAGAUGGCCCAUCCCUCCCACAACUGCCACUACAGAGCUACAGCAGCAUGUUGCUCGAAAGGGAGAACAGAAGAAACACAGCCUGUGUGUCUGUGAUAACUGAUUGCUGAUUGCACUGAGGUAGUGUAAAGUUGGAACAACAAAAAAAAGUUUUUAAAAUUAUUUUUGUAUUGUAUUUUCCUUUCCUCCCUUUUUUUUUUGGUUGGUUUGUUAUGAUAUAAUGUGUGUUUUAAUCUCAUGUUUUAAUGUUGUGUUGCGAGCCGCCCAGAGGACAAUUUGUUAUGGGGUGGCUAACAAAUAAAGUUUAUUAUUUAUUA